rnacentral:rRNA from 1 species
CCUACGGGGGGCUGCAGUGGGGAAUAUUGGACAAUGGGGGCAACCCUGAUCCAGCCAUGCCGCGUGUGUGAAGAAGGCCCUCGGGUUGUAAAGCACUUUCAGUGAGGAAGAACGCCUGGUGGUUAAUACCCAUCAGGAAAGACAUCACUCACAGAAGAAGCACCGGCUAACUCCGUGCCAGCAGCCGCGGUAAUACGGAGGGUGCGAGCGUUAAUCGGAAUUACUGGGCGUAAAGCGCGCGUAGGUGGCUUGAUAAGCCGGUUGUGAAAGCCCCGGGCUCAACCUGGGAACGGCAUCCGGAACUGUCAAGCUAGAGUGCAGGAGAGGAAGGUAGAAUUCCCGGUGUAGCGGUGAAAUGCGUAGAGAUCGGGAGGAAUACCAGUGGCGAAGGCGGCCUUCUGGACUGACACUGACACUGAGGUGCGAAAGCGUGGGUAGCAAACAGGAUUAGAUACCCUAGUGUC